rnacentral:rRNA from 1 species
UACAGAGGGUGCGAGCGUUGUUCGGAAUUAUUGGGCGUAAAGCGCUGGUAGGUGGCUUGUUAAGUCGCGUGUGAAAGCUCCCGGCUCAACCGGGAAAGUGCGCGCGAAACUGGCGAGCUUGAGUGCCGGAGAGGGUCGCGGAAUUCCCAGUGUAGAGGUGAAAUUCGUAGAUAUUGGGAAGAACACCGGUGGCGAAGGCGGCGACCUGGUCCGAUACUGACGCUGAGGCGCGAAAGCGUGGGGAGCAAACAGG